AUCAUUUGAAAUUUACAAGUUUGGCAAUUCAAUGUACUUAUGCAAUAUGUACAACUAAUGGCUUAUUACCUUAUUAUAGUCCAAACGCCAAGCAAUUACACAAAACAAAAAAAAAUGAUUUUUUUUAAAAAGGCCUAAAAAUGAAAAUAAACACACCAAAUAACAUAAAAGAAAGAAAAAUGGAGCACAUAAAAAUAUGUGCAUCCCCCCAC
rnacentral:lncRNA from 1 species